rfam:Salmo salar isolate Sally breed double haploid chromosome ssa09, whole genome shotgun sequence.
UGCAUUCACUACUGUAAGUCACUCUGGAUAAGAGCGUCUGCUAAAUGGGUAAAA